rnacentral:lncRNA from 1 species
AGUUCUCCUAUGCUCAAAAUUCUCCACUUUCUGUUGCCUUCUGACCAAGAUGUAGCCACCAGCAUCAUGUCUGCCUGCAUGCUGCCAUGCUCCCCACCACGAUGACAAUGAACUGAACCUCUGAAAGCGUAAGCAAGCCACCCCAAUCAAGUGUUUUCCUUAUGAGAGUUGAUAGAAACCCUAAUGAAGACAAAGGCCAUCACAGAAAGAAGGCUUAGAGGUCAAUGAUGCUUCUUCAGGCCAGAACAUUGCUUUCAGGAGAUCCAGCUCAGAAGAUUACUUAAUAAGGGCCAAGAAAUCAUCAUCAUCAUCAUCAUCAUCAUCAUCAUCAUCAUCAUCGUAAACGGAAUUAUUGAUUUUGUAGGUGAUUGCAUCUAGCAUCAGAAUACAUGCUGUUUGUACCCCCACACUACGACCCUCUCUCUCUUCUUGGUGUGAGGGGACCUGUGCUUCUAUGGAUGCUUACUGUCCUCCAAGGGAAGCUCUCCCCUAUGCUCUGCUCCUCACGUCUGCCAGCACUGUGGGAAAUGGAGAUUCCAGACUACAUGAGAGAAGGCUGGUCUUUCUGAGUAGAGGGCUUGUGGAAGAAAGCCACGCAGCUUUGCUCCUUCCUCUCAUCCAUGGUUCAGCUUUAGUAGAGGCACACAAGGCUCCCUACAUCAUCAUCCUGUGCUGUUUCAUGGUUGUUCUUGAUAUCAGAGAUGCUCCACCUGAGUGUAUUCAUCUUUACCCAUGAUGCUCAUUGCCUCUGUCUGAAACCCUAAACUCUGAAGCAUGUAGGAAAUAGUCACACCUCACUCAUGUCACGUGGCGGCAUGGACGAUAUAGCUGGUGGAGUGUCACUGACUGUCACCACACUGCCUUCAUUGGAUACCAGGGUAAGGAGCAACAAUAUUGGUAGUUUAUGAUAAGCAAAUUUGCUGUGGGGUGAUCUUUCUGUACACUGUGAAUAUGUAUUGCUCCCAUUGGUUAAUAAUAAAAGUUGUUUGUCUUAUGGCA